rnacentral:rRNA from 1 species
UACGUAGGGCGCAAGCGUUAUCCGGAAUUAUUGGGCGUAAAGAGCUCGUAGGCGGCUUGUCGCGUCGACUGUGAAAACCCGCGGCUCAACCGCGGGCCUGCAGCCGAUACGGGCAGGCUAGAGUUCGGUAGGGGAGACUGGAAUUCCUGGUGUAGCGGUGAAAUGCGCAGAUAUCAGGAAGAACACCCGUGGCGAAAGCGGCUCUCUGGAACGGUACUGACGCUGAGACGCGAAAGCGUGGGGAGCGAACAGG